AUACGGAGGAUGCGAGCGUUAUCCGGAUUUAUUGGGUUUAAAGGGUGCGUAAGCUGUGCGUUAAGUCAGGGGUGAAAUGCCGUCGCUCAACGACGGAGCUGCCCUUGAUACUGGCGUGCUGGAGUACGGAUGCCGUUGGAGGAAUGAGUGGUGUAGCGGUGAAAUGCUUAGAUAUCACUCAGAACACCGAUUGCGAAGGCAGCUGACGAAUCCGUCACUGACGCGGAGGCACGAAAGCGUGGGGAUAGAACAGGAUUAGAUACCCUGGUAUUCCACGCCGUAAACGAUGAUGACUAACCGUCGGCGAUAGACAGCCGGUGGCCAAGCGAAAGCGAUAAGUCAUCCACCUGGGGAGUACGUCGGCAACGAUGAAACUUAAAGGAAUUGACGGGG
rnacentral:rRNA from 1 species